GUGCCCGAGCGGUUAAGGGGAUGCACUCGAAAUGCAUUGGGCUCUGCCCGCGUGAGUUCGAGUCUCACCGCU
rnacentral:tRNA from 1 species